rnacentral:rRNA from 1 species
CAUAUCAAUAAGCGGAGGAAAAGAAACCAACAGGGAUUGCCCUAGUAACGGCGAGUGAAGCGGCAACAGCUCAAAUUUGAAAUCUGGCCUCUUUGGGGUCCGAGUUGUAAUUUGCAGAGGGCGCUUUGGAGUCGGCAGCGGUCCAAGUUCCUUGGAACAGGACGUCACAGAGGGUGAGAAUCCCGUACGUGGUCGCUAGCCUUCUCCGUGUAAAGCCCCUUCGACGAGUCGAGUUGUUUGGGAAUGCAGCUCUAAAUGGGAGGUAAAUUUCUUCUAAAGCUAAAUACUGGCCAGAGACCGAUAGCGCACAAGUAGAGUGAUCGAAAGAUGAAAAGCACUUUGGAAAGAGAGUCAAAAAGCACGUGAAAUUGUUGAAAGGGAAGCGCUUGCAGCCAGACUUGCCUGUAGUUGCUCAUCCGGGCUUUUGCCCGGUGCACUCUUCUAUAGGCAGGCCAGCAUCAGUUUGGGCGGUUGGAUAAAGGUCUCUGUCAUGUACCUCUCUUCGGGGAGAACUUAUAGGGGAGACGACAUGCAACCAGCUCAGAUUGAGGUCCGCGCAUUUGCUAGGAUGCUGGCGUAAUGGCUGUAAGCGGC